rnacentral:rRNA from 1 species
AUUGAACGCUGGCGGAAUGCUUUACACAUGCAAGUCGAGCGGCAGCGCGGCCUUCGGGCUGGCGGCGAGCGGCGAACGGGUGAGUAAUGCAUCGGAACAUGCCCAGUCGUGGGGGAUAACACUUCGAAAGAAGUGCUAAUACCGCAUACGUCCUGAGGGGGAAAGCGGGGGAUCGCAAGACCUCGCGCGAUUGGAGUGGCUGAUGUCAGAUUAGCUAGUUGGUGGGGUAAAGGCCUACCAAGGCGACGAUCUGUAGCUGGUCUGAGAGGAUGAUCAGCCACACUGGGACUGAGACACGGCCCAGACUCCUACGGGAGGCAGCAGUGGGGAAUUUUGGACAAUGGGGGCAACCCUGAUCCAGCCAUGCCGCGUGAGUGAAGAAGGCCUUCGGGUUGUAAAGCUCUUUCGGCAGGAACGAAACGGUGGGCUCUAACAUAGUCCGCUAAUGACGGUACCUGAAGAAGAAGCACCGGCUAACUACGUG